rnacentral:tRNA from 1 species
ACUAUUUUGGCAGAAGUUAAUGUGUUAGGUUUAGGACUUAAAAAUAUAGAGUUUUCUAUAAUUAGUA